rnacentral:rRNA from 1 species
AGGGCACCACCAGGAGUGGAGCCUGCGGCUUAAUUUGACUCAACACGGGAAAACUCACCCGGCCCGGACACUGGAAGGAUUGACAGAUUGAGAGCUCUUUCUUGAUUCAGUGGGUGGUGGUGCAUGGCCGUUCUUAGUUGGUGGAGUGAUUUGUCUGGUUAAUUCCGAUAACGAACGAGACUCUAGCCUACUAAAUAGAUCGUCGGCUUACAAACGCCGGCGAGACUUCUUAGAGGGACAGGCGGUGAUUCAACCGCACGAAACAGAGCAAUAACAGGUCUGUGAUGCCCUUAGAUGUCCGGGGCCGCACGCGCGCUACACUGAAGUGAUCAGCGUGCUUUUUCAACCUACUCUGUCAAGAGUGGGGAACCCAAUGAACCUUCUUCGUGAUUGGGAUAGGGGAUUGUAAUUGUUCCCCUUGAACGAGGAAUUCCCAGUAAGCGCGAGUCAUAAGCUCGCGUUGAUUACGUCCCUGCCCUUUGUACACACCGCCCGUCGCUACUACCGAUUGAAUGUGUU